rnacentral:rRNA from 1 species
GUGCCAGCAGCCGCGGUAAUACGGAGGGGGCUAGCGUUGUUCGGAAUUACUGGGCGUAAAGCGCGCGUAGGCGGAUUGGAAAGUUGGGGGUGAAAUUCCAGGGCUCAACCCUGGAACUGCCUCCAAAACUUCCAGUCUGGAGUUCGAGAGAGGUGAGUGGAAUUCUGAGUGUGGAGGUGAAAUUCGUAGAUAUUCAGAAGAACACCAGUGGCGAAGGCGGUCCACUGGCCUGCUACUGACGCUGAGGCGCGAAAGUGUGGGGAGCAAACAGGAUUAGAUACCCUGGUAGUCCACACCGUAA